rnacentral:sRNA from 1 species
GCUGGGUGUGGUGGUAUACAUCUGUAAUCCUAGCUACUCAGGAGGCUGAGGCAGGAGGAUUGCAAAUUUGAGGCCAGUCUUUUGUAAGAUCCUACUUUAA